rnacentral:rRNA from 1 species
GGCGAAAAGAACCCCUGUGAGGGGAGUGAAAUAGAACCUGAAACCGUGUACGUACAAGCAGUAGGAGCACCUUCGUGGUGUGACUGCGUACCUUUUGUAUAAUGGGUCAGCGACUUAUAUUCAGUGGCAAGGUUAACCGUAUAGGGGAGCCGUAGCGAAAGCGAGUCUUAACUGGGCGCUCAGUCUCUGGAUAUAGACCCGAAACCGGGUGAUCUAGCCAUGGGCAGGUUGAAGGUUGAGUAACAUCAACUGGAGGACCGAACCGACUAAUGUUGAAAAAUUAGCGGAUGACUUGUGGCUAGGGGUGAAAGGCCAAUCAAACUCGGAGAUAGCUGGUUCUCCCCGAAAGCUAUUUAGGUAGCGCCUCGGACGAAUACUACUGGGGGUAGAGCACUGUUAAGGCUAGGGGGUCAUCCCGACUUACCAACCCUUUGCAAACUCCGAAUACCAGUAAGUACUAUCC